rnacentral:rRNA from 1 species
AUACGAAGGGGGCUAGCGUUGUUCGGAUUUACUGGGCGUAAAGCGCACGUAGGCGGAUUGAUAAGUUAGGGGUGAAAUCCCGAGGCUCAACCUCGGAACUGCCUCUAAUACUGUCAAUCUCGAGACCGGAAGAGGUGAGUGGAACUCCUAGUGUAGAGGUGGAAUUCGUAGAUAUUAGGAAGAGCACCAGUGGCGAAGGCGGCUCACUGGUCCGGUACUGACGCUGAGGUGCGAAAGCGUGGGGAGCGAACAGGAUUAGAAACCCUAGUAGUCC